rnacentral:lncRNA from 1 species
AUUCUGGUUCACCACAACUCGUGGCUAGUCCGGUCCCCGAGAGACUCUCUCGAGAUUUCCACUAACUUUUCAAGCUUCCGGGUGCUUAACAAACCUUUACAACUUGAGGACACAAGCCUCAACACCUUUGCUCGGAGAUACAAAACUCCAAGACUUCAACCAAAGGAAACACAAGUUCCUUCACAACUUGAGGACACAAGCCUCAACUACCUUUGCUCGGAGAUACAACACUCCAAGACUUCNNN